rnacentral:rRNA from 1 species
ACUGCCCGUCUGAGGCACGCCCAGGCAGCGGAAUUCCGGUGUAGCGUGAAAUGCGUAGAUAUCGGGAGGAACANCGAAGGCGAAGGCAGCNGCUGGGGCUGUCUGACGGUCAGGGACGAAAGCUGGGGGAGCGAACCGGGAUUAGAUACCCGGGUAGUCCCAGCCGUAAACCAUGGGCGCUAGGCGUCGUCCUCGUGGCGGUGCCGCAGCUAACGCGGUAAGCGCCCCGCCUGGGGAGUACGGGCGCAAGCCUGAAACUCAAAGGAAUUGGCGGGGGCCCGCACAACCGGUGGAGCGUCUGGUUCAAUUCGAUGCUAACCGAAAAACCUUACCCGGGCUUGACAUGGUGGGAAACCCUUGCGAAAGCGAGGGGUGCCGUCCUCUGGACGGAAUCCCACCACAGGUGGUGCAUGGCCGUCGUCAGCUCGUGUCGUGAGAUGUUGGGUUAAGUCCCGCAACGAGCGCAACCCCUGCCCCUAGUUGCUACCCCGAAUGGGGAGCACUCUAGGGGGACUGCCGGCGAUAAGCCGGAGGAAGGUGGGGAUGACGUCAGGUCAGUAUGCCCCUUAUGCCCGGGGCUACACAAGCGCUACAGUGGCCAGGACAAUGGGAUGCGACCCAGCAAUGGGGAGCAAAUCCCCCAAACCUGGUCAUGGUGCGGAUUGAGGGCUGAAACUCGCCCUCAUGAAGCCGGAAUCGGUAGUAAUGGCGGAUCAGCUAAGCCGCCGUGAAUACGUUCUCGGGCCUUGCACACACCGCCCGUCACGCCACGGAAGUCAGUCUUCCCGGAAGGCCCCAAGCUAACCCGCAAGGGAGGCAGGGGACGAUGGGAAGGCUGGCAACUGGGGCGAAGUCGUAACAAGGUAA